rnacentral:lncRNA from 1 species
GGAUCUGCUUCUUCUUUGGGGGAGUUCAGUCGGGACUUCAGGUCGUCAAUUUCACUUUGUUCAGGUUCAGCCUCCUCUGGGAUAGUACACUCCACUAUGAAAUCUGCCAGUAUUUGGGCCUUCACUGCUGGCCUGGGUUGAUAGUUGAUGUCGAAUUCUAUGAGCUCUAUCGCCCACUUUGCCAUCCUCCCAGAGGCGUCCGCCCGGUGCAAAAUCGCUUUGAUCAGU